UACAGAGGGUGCGAGCGUUGUCCGGAAUCACUGGGCGUAAAGGGCGCGUAGGUGGCGCUGCAAGUCGGUGGUGAAAGCUCGUCGCUUAACGACGAGUCGGCCAUCGAAACUGCAGGGCUCGAGUGCCAGAGAGGGUGGCGGAAUUCCCCAAGUAGAGGUGAAAUUCGUAGAUAUCGGGAGGAACACCAGUGGCGAAGGCGACUUCCUGGCCUGUUCUUGACGCUGAGGCGCGAAAGCUAGGGUAGCAAACGGG
rnacentral:rRNA from 1 species